UGGGGUCUCAAAUGGGCUGCCUCUUUGCCACUCUUUUGGUAGUAUCAGUCUCUCUUAGCUACUUGCCGUUAGAAGCCUCCGCAAACAAAUACUACUACACAUCUCCUCCCCCUCCCAAGUACAAGUCUCCACCACCACCCCCGCCACCGGUUCACAAUUCUCCACCACCACCCCCGGUUUACCUGCCCCCGCCACCUCCUCCACCAGUCUACGUGCCUGCUCCGGCACCAACUCCAAUUUUCCCUUCUCCGCCACCUCCUGUCCCCAAGUCCCCACCACCACCUCACCCUUACGUCUAUGCAUCUCCCCCUCCUCCUUACUACUACUAGAAAGCGGCCAUGAAUAGCUCAUGCUUUUAUGGUAAUCUCAUUUAUUUUUAAAACUGUACAUGUAAAGACUAGUAGUUCAGAAUUACAUUAAGCAUUUCAAUUUUAAGCACCGUGUUCUGUUUAAUUGCGUUCCUAUUGAUUAAGUGACAAAUAAAAGAGAUUGAUUAAUUUGUUCUUGUAGGAGAGGCGAAUGGUAUCCGAAUAAAGAAAGCAAGGGUUUGAUGGAAGGCUUACUUGGAGCAAGAUAGCGAUCAAUCGAGUUGCUGCGUUUUAUUCUCUUUUAUCUUUGUUUUUUAAGAAAAAUAAACUGCCACACGUAGAAACAGAAAAUUAAGUUCUUGUCAUUUUCAUGCAUAUGGAUUGUUGCUGUGUGUGUCAAUCAAAUCUCCGUUGUGUCAUUUGUAAUUUUCAACCUUUAUGCAUGCAAAUGCGAGACCUCUUACGUAUAAUAAAAUUAAUAUACUUCCCAAGAUGGUCUUAUCUUGCGUUGACUUUUUACGUUCCUUUGGUGAUGAUUUUGACGUUUGAAAUUGAUGACUAAUUGACUAUUGUUUUUGUAAACUCUGACAUGGAUUUUUCGUGCAACUACAGAGCGCAUUAACGAGAGACUUAUCCAUGAGGGUCCAUGCAGAUCAGUGUCUAAUUAACCAAUAAUUAAUAUAACUAAAAAAAUAUAGAGUUAACUAUUUUUAUGGGUCAGGCUCAAUUGCAGAUGUUCGUACAAAAUUUCUUGCUAAUGUAUACUUGAGUAUGAUAAUAAGUUUUAAUCAUUAUUAAUAAUUCACUUGAUAAUAUUAAACAAAUUUUCAUAUCAAUUAAGUUACAAAAUUUCUGUGACAAAUUUCCGCGUACUGGAACCAUGCAAAAGGGCUUUAUUCAAACAAAACUGCAUAGCCGUUGGCAAUUAAAAUUAUUUAUCAAUUAAGUUAAGUAGUAAGAAUUGGAUUGUGGAUUCCAUUAAUUAUUUCAAGGAAAAUUUUAUAGAUAAUGCCGUAAUGAAAUUUACGGCAUCAAUACCAUGAUAAAUAUAAAUAUUGUAAAUUACAAAUAGAAUUAGUAAAUGUAAAGUAAAACCAGUAAAUUCAUAAAAGAUUAUUAAUUAUUUAAAAAAUUAACAUUGUUUCUACAUAAUUUUAGUGAAAAAUAUUUUAUUCAUUUACAAAAACAUUUCUUUAAUUAAACAAAAAAAUUCAUUAAUUAAGCAAAAAAAUUAUACUGAAAAAAAAGUGGAAUAAGUUUAAUUGAAUUGGUUAUCAUAAAUUCUAUAUUUAGUCUAGGACAUUUUUAUACAUUUUCUUCCCAUUUUCGAUAAUGAUAUCUAUUUGUUACACAUGUUAAUUAAGUGCAAUUAUUUAUCUUGAUGUGGAUCAAGUAAAAAAAUAUCAUAAAUAAGAUAUCAAUAAAAUUAGAUCUAAUUUUGAAUAUUAUGUAUACUUUAUGUAGUUUCAAACUUUUUACUUGUAUUUGGAGACCAUUUAAGGUUGUUGUUGAAGAAGUGUAGAAAGAUGUAAAAUAACUUCAUCUUACAACAACUAUGAAAGAUAUUAAAAUAAUAAUUUUUUCAAAAUCCGAUUUUGAGAAAAAAAUUCAUCCUUAAUUAAACAUCACAUGUAUUAUAGAAAUGCAAAACUACCAUUGUUAUAUUUAACUUAAAAAAUAAUAAAUAUAUAAGGUAAUAAACAUUAUAAAGAGUUUUUAUUUUAAAAUUGUAAACUUUUGUUUCUGACAAUAACUCUUAUAUUAAUUUAUUUAUUUUGCCUUUUAUUCAUAAGUUUUAUGCAUAAUUUACAAACUUUAAGUUUUAUUUUGCAUUUUAUGUUGAUUUGGUUUUUUUAUAUUAUACGUACAAGUUUUCUUUUUAUUUACCAGUAAUACAUCAAUUUAUCAGCUUGAUAGUAAUUUACUUAUUUUACCUUCCUUUUACAAUUCUUAUGUUUCAUUUCCAAAAUUUAUGUUUUAUUUUACAGUUGUUGAUGAUUUACUAGUUUUAUGUUAUGUUUGCAAGUUUUUGUUUUGUUUACUAGUAAUAGAUUAAUGGGUAAUUUUUAAUUGAGUCCUCAUUAGUUCUAGAAAAACAAUUCAGAGACCAGAAGUUUACUAAAUGAAUCAAUUAAAUUCUUUCAAGUACAAACUAAUGUCAUUCAAGUCCUUAACUUAAUUGGUCAGUUAAAAAUAUUAACAACGUUGAGGACAUUUUAGUAAAACAACAAUUGAGUCGUUUCUCAUUCUUUAUUUUUGACAGGUGGAAAUAGUUUAAAGUAAACUCACUUAACCUGAUUAAGUUAAGGAUCAGUUCUUUCAAAUGAAAAAAAAAAAAAAAACCUACAGAAACUGCCAUAUUCUUCGUGUGGGAGGAGAGAUCGAGAGAACGUGGGAUGGUGCAAAAAAUGUUGUAUAAAUCUACUGUGAUUUUGACCAAAGCUUUGGUAGCAUUGAUUGAGUUCAAGUACUGGAGAGAACCUGAGUUUAAAGGUUAGUAACUCUAUUUUUUUAGUGAUUUCUGCAAGCAUUUUCUGAUAAAAAAUUUUCCGUAUUGAGUGAUCGUUGUGAAAAAUUAAGUUUUUCAAGUCUAUUUUACAAAAUGACAAACUAUGUUUAAUUAUUGAUGGAUUCUUUUUUUUGUUCAAUGUUGUAUUUUGUUAAUUUGUUGUUUUUAAUUUGCUCUUAAUGUAAUUGUUAGACCAAAUACACCAUUAUUAUACCUGUAUUCAUUUCAACAAUUUGGUAUCGUUAUAUUAAUAAGAUUGAAUUCAUUGUAUUUGCUUCUUUGUUCAUGUAAAAUUGAAUUCUAUGUAUUCUUAUGAGUGAUAAUUUUUCUAUCUAUUAGACUAAAUUCACUAUAUUCACUACUUUCUUUCUUUUUGCUGGGCUAUUUUUUCUUUUUAGUUUAUAUUUUUUAUAUGUAUUAGAUUGAAUUUGCUUUUGUACGUUUUUUUUAGCCGAAUUACAUGUAUAUUUCAUUUAGGUUGAGUUUUUUUUGUUGUUUGCUAAAUAAAAUUAUAUUGGUUUAUCCCUUUUUUAUGCAAUACUUUUUGUUUAAAAUUAAUACAGUUAGCCAUGUUACCUUUUUUUUCGGUUAAAAUUAAUGGGGUGAUGUAGGCGAUAGGAUAUAGGGAACCAGAGGAAUAUAAGAUUAUUAGGCUGUUUCUUGAAAUUCAAGAUGUCAUGGUUAAGCAUGGACACAGUGAAAUGGAUUUGAUUGAAAUUUUUGUUGUAUUGCCAUGGACUACAAGUGGCCAGAGGAAGCUAAUUUCAAACGAUAGUGAAUUGUAUUGGGUUUUCGAGGAGUUUUUUUUAAUCAAUAGUUGUCCUGUCAUUGAGUUUGAGGUGCACACUGGGUCAGGUGGUCAGUCAUUUCAUGAAAGUGUUGUAAUAGGACCUGAAAAUCCUGUCAAUAUUAAAAAUUAGUGUUGUAAUAGUGAUAAGUUUGAAAAUGUUGUGGCUAAAAAGGUCUGCCUAGAAUAAUUGGUACUUCUUUAUUUGCCUCAAAGUCCAACACUAUGAAAUCCACAAGGAAAAAGAAUUUAUCCACUUUAACCAGCACGUCUUCAAUCUUGCCUUCAGGAUAAGCAUGAGAUCUGGCAGCACAUUGCAAUGUCACUGUGGUUGGUUUGACUUCUCCAACUCCCAAUUGCUUGAAUUCUGAUAAUGUCAUAAGAUUGAUGCUUGCUCCCAAACCACAAAGUGUCUUGCCACUGUAUUUAGUUCCUAUGGAACAAUGAAUUGUGAAACUUCCUGGAUCCUUCAACUUCUGAGGCAUUUUACUCUGAAGCAUAUGGCUGCAUUCUUGUGUUAGACCAACUAUUUCAAAUUCUCCGAGCCUCAUUUUCCUUGCCAAUAUACAUUUCCAAAACUUUACAUAAUUUGGCAUUUGUUCUAAUGCUUCCACAAAAGAAAUGUUGAUAUGCAGUUCUUUCCAUACUUCCAAGAAUUUACUGAACUGCAUGUCUUGCUUUCGCUUUUGAAAUCUUUGUGGGAAGGGUGGUGGAUGUGUAAAUUGUUGUACUGCAGCAGACUAUACAUAUUGCUUUUCUCUUGCUCUAUUAUGGUAUGUUAUUAUUGGUGUUGCAGCUUCUUCCUCAACAAGCAUUGAAUCAUGUUUUUUUGCAGUUGCUAUAACUUAGCAACUCUCACCAGUGUGCUGGAAAAUGGGUUGUUGUGUCUCUUCUUUAAUUUGAGUUUCCCCUUGGGUUGAAUUAGGUUCCACUCUUCUUUUUGGUACUUUAACAAGUAUAUGAACAUCCUUUCCAAACCUUAAGUUAAUCCCCUUACAAUGCUCUUUUCCUUCUCUCUUUCGAUCCUCUGUAUUGUUUAGUAAAUUGUCCUGAGGUAUGUUGCUCAAUUUUGUAGCAAGCUGUCCAAUCUUAUUCUCCAAGUUUCUUAAAAAUACAGCUUGGCUUUAGACCACUACUCCAAUCUUUACAAUAUACUCCUUAAUCAGAGUUUCAAUGGAACUAAAUUGAUCAUUACUGGUGUUUCUUUACCCUUCAAAUUUCUGGUGAAAAUCAGGUGGCUGAGCAAGUCUGUUCUGUCCACUGGAUGCUGCAGCAUGCUGAUUCUGAUUGCUCCUUUUAAAAUUUGGGUGAUGUCUCCAUCCUAGGUUAUAGGUGUUUGAAAAUGGAUUGCUUUGAUUUUGUUUAUUAAAAUUGCCCACAUAAUUGACGGAAGCUGAAUUCCUAGGACAAUUAUGAUAUAGAUGUCCCUCUCCAUAAUAAACACAAGAGACUUCAGCAAUUUGGUUAACUGUUGCCGGAGCAGUGGCCGUUGCUUUUACCAUAUUUGUCAAUGAGGUUACUUGGGCUGAUAAUGUUGUCAGUGCAUCCACAUUGUGUACUCCUGCUGCUCCUCUCACUGUGGCUUGUCUAGUUGAUGGCCAUUGAUAGUUAUCCUUUCUAAAAUUUCAUAAGCCUCAUUAUAUGAGUUAGACAAUAAAGCCCCUAGUUAUUGAGUUCAACCCAUUGUAGAAAGUUUCCAAUUGUAUGCAAUAAGGAAUACCAUGAUGAGGGCAUCUCCUGAGUAACCCCUUGAAUCUUUCUCAUGCAUCAUACAAGCUUUCAUCUUCAAGUUGAUGGAAAGAUGUGAUCUCAUUCUUCAACUUUGCAUUCUUUGUUGGUGGGAAAUAUUUCAUCAAAAGUUUGUCAGCCAAAUAAUUCCAUGUGGUGAUGGAGUCUGGUUGCAAAGAACUCCACUGUACCAACUAAAAUUGAUUUCACAAAACACAAUAAGCACCAAUCCCCGGCAACGGCGCAAAAAACUUGUUGUCGAUUUUCUAAUGCUAUUAGUGUCAAUGUGAAAAUGUACACAACAAGUAAUAUAACGAUAAGUAUUCACUCCACAAGGAUUAUUAUUAUAGGAAUUGCUACAGUAAUUCUAUCAGUGCCAUUCUUAUUAUAAAUUAGAAUUUAAACAAAUUAUUCAACUAAUGAACUAAGGCAGAUCUUAUUGGGCUAGUCGGCAAUGUGUUGCUUUAGGUCGUGUGGAAUAGUUGCGGGAGUGAUCUUGCAUGAUGUGUGGAGCUAUAACAGUGCUGAGCAUGGGCCAAUCUAUGGGCUCAUGGAACUAGCGAACCUAAUCUAGAAUUUCGAGGAAGAGUACUCUGGUUAGUACUCUAAAUUACCUUAUUAUAUUUUGCACAAACAGAGGCAUGUUAGUGAAAUAAUAUCUAAGCAACCCAAGAGGGGGGUGAAUUGGGUUUCUAAAAAUUAUGCAAUUCUUAAACAAAACUUAAUGCAAAUCUUAAACGAAUUUAAAGCAAUAAUACAUAAAUCAACCAAGGUAUAAAAAGAUAAGGGAAGAGAGAUUAAAACACAGAGAGUUUUACGUGGUUCGGCCAACCUUGCCUACAUCCACACCCCCAAGCACACCGAGCUUGGGCAUUCCACUAGUCAAGCCUUCAAGGCUUCAAGAACACUUACAAUUGACUUCUUAGGUGUCAAUCAACCUUUACAUCUAGAGAUUAUCCCCAAUCUCUUAACCCAAGUGUAUCCCAAUAUUUACAAUCACUCAAAAUAAAGAUUACAAAUUUAUUUUUCUCUCACACAAUUUUUUAAGAUUACAAAUCAACGCUUAAUGUGUGAAUAAAUGAACAAGAAUGAAUUUGAAGCUCAAUGAAUGUUGUAUUCUCGAUUAUAAGCUCAAUGAUAACGUUGUGAUAAGCUCUUGUUUGAAUUUGAUUGAUCUUAUUUAUAGUUGGAGUUGAAAAAUAGCCAUUGUUGACUUUUUCCCGAAAUUGGAUCGCCGUUAACCGUUAUCGGUUAACCGUUUUGACUGGUCCAAGUGACCGUUGAGCUGAAUUUCAAAUAAACGGUUGAUCUUUUGACACUAUCGGUUUGCUGUUAAUUUCCAUAAACCUGUAAAACAAAUUUAUGCUAUUCGUUCUUGCUAAACGGUUGAAGGUCAGCAUGGAAUGACAUUCUAGAAAUUAUUGGUUGGCCGUUUGAAGUUCACGGUUCACCGUUUACUUCUAGAAUCACAGUUUUAACCAAAUUUCGCAGGGAAUGCUUUUUCGGUUAAAGUUAACGAUUAUCCAUAUUUCAUGAACACAUUUAGAAAAAUCAUACGACUUUUGAGAAAUUGUUUAGUAAUGAAAACUCUAACAUUUUAAUCAAAUACAUUUAAAGUUUGUUAUCAUCAAAAUCAAUAUAAUGAACAUCUACAUGUUAACAGUUAGGCCUUGAUUAUUUUUUAAAUCUUAUAAGAUAUAGAGUGAUAAUAGUAACUCAAUUUUCAUAAAACGUGGAAAGAUCAGUCGCCAAAUUUAUAGAUGCCAUAGAAAACCUAGAUUUUAGUAAGGAAUAUCAAGUUAUUUAUACAAUGAAAAUUGUUAAAACUCGAUUAAUUGCAAGGAAACACUUUUAGAGAGAUAUGGAGAGAAUAAACUUUGAAGAUAACAAUGAAAUACAUGACACAUUUAAGGAAGAAAAUAUAAUAGUAUUAAUAGAAUCUAUUUUAACCGGUCUUAAGAUAAUUCAAGAUUGAUGCAAAAUAAAUAACAGGACUCUAAACCGUCCAUAAUAAGUCUAUUGAUUAAUAAUAACAAUAAUAGUGAUGUGAAAUUUUUUAUUCAGAAUGCUCAAUUUAGAUUAUAAUAUCUAUGUGAAAGCAUUGAUGGCAUGUACCUUGGUUAGGAAAAUAGAUUGGACACAUGGAUAUAUAUGUUGGAAGAACAAAUCUAGUUUAUAUCUCAAGAGAGAUAAUAAAUUAUAAAUGACGGUGCUAUAGUAUAUUCAGAUUUUAUAAAUCUUUAUAAAUUUAAUAAUCAUUUAGAUCUUCAUAAUAUUAUAAUAAAACUUUAAAAAACUUUAAAAAUAUAUGUAGAAGAGAUGGAAGAAGAAAUCAUCCAAUUAUUCAAAAUCAAUUAAACAAAAAUAGAAGGUAAAAUCCUUGAAUUAUAUAAAUUAUACAAUUUCACAGAAAUUUUGCAUAUAUUGCGAAACGGUCCUUGUGGCACUAAUUAUGGGACUAGUGUAGCAUAAAUACUAAUAUUGCUUUUUAUUUUGUAAAUUAAUUGUUGCGUCAUAAUUUUUUUACAUACACAUUUUAUGUUUUAAAAUAUGAUUUUUUUUUUGUAUUUAGGGUUAAUUUUACAAUUUCAUACUUUGUUCAAUUAUAUGUACAGGUCCUUCACGUGUUGGUUGAUGUUGAAUAUUCAAAGAUCCACAAGCUAUCAACGACAACGAAUCAAAUUAAACUAAUUAGUUAAUACAUAAUGACUGGGUUGUUUCCUAUGUUGUUAAUGAUGUAGAACGUUAUUUUAGGAUUUUAGAAUUUUAAUUUUUAGGUCUUCUGAUAUUUUCUUUUUUAAUUAAAGUUAGUGUCUUAGUUUUUUAUUUAUUUAUGUUAUAAUUAUAAUUUACUUUCUCUUUUUAAGUUAACUUAGGAAAAUAUAUUUACUGUAUUAUAAAUAAAGAGAUCUUGUUAUUACUUUAUAACUUCAACUUCAGUUAUUCAAUUAAAAACCCCUCUUUUAUAAUUUCCUUUUGUAUUAUCUAUUAAAAACCCCUCUUUUAAAGUUGUUUGAUUAGAGCAUCAUCUAGCCUUGCUUAACGCAGUAUAAAAAAUCCCUUUGAGUUUAAUCACACGUCGAUUAGAGCGUAACUUAAUCGCAUUGACUUGGUCCAUGACUUGAACGAUAUCUAGUGUUUUGCUUCCGCUAUGCCCAAGGAGAAAAUUAAUUUCACCGUGAGAUAAGAGCAUUAAAAGGAAUUCAUAAGAAAUUUAAAUUAAAGCUAUAUAUGUUAAAUAUAUCGCUAGCUACUUGUUUUUGGAGGAAUUAAAACAAUUAAUAAGCUGCGAAGUGAAAAUGAAUAAAUAAAUGAAAUGAGGUUGAAAAUAAGUCUCGCCGCCUGGAUCCAAGGCCAAAACAUUCAUGAUAAGUUAGGUAAUUAAGUACAUGUUUUCAAGCUCUUCAUGAAGAAUAACGUUAUUGAAAUAAAUCACAAAGACUCCCUGCGCAAAUUAUUACAUUGAUUAAAAAAAAAAGCCAUAUCUUUAACAGGAUCGUGACUCUCGGACUGUUAAUUACUUUAUUCCCUGCUUGGCCAACAGCUGGCCACUAAACAAAAUCAUAAAAAUUUUAAAUUUAGUCAAAUUGGUCCCACUUGAUGACAUCCUUUUCAUACAUAAAAUUGUUAACGUCAAGGUUAAAUAUGAGAAGUUUGGUAGAGAAGGUAAAAAGGAAGUCUAUAUAAGGAGGGGAACGAGCUUUGUUUAUAGCACAAGUGAAACUCCACUUUAUUGAACGAUGGGGUCUCAAAUGGGCUGCCUCUUUGCCACUCUUUUGGUAGUAUCAGUCUCUCUUAGCUACUUGCCGUUAGAAGCCUCCGCAAACAAAUACUACUACACAUCUCCUCCCCCUCCCAAGUACAAGUCUCCACCACCACCCCCGCCACCGGUUCACAAUUCUCCACCACCACCCCCGGUUUACCUGCCCCCGCCACCUCCUCCACCAGUCUACGUGCCUGCUCCGGCACCAACUCCAAUUUUCCCUUCUCCGCCACCUCCUGUCCCCAAGUCCCCACCACCACCUCACCCUUACGUCUAUGCAUCUCCCCCUCCUCCUUACUACUACUAGAAAGCGGCCAUGAAUAGCUCAUGCUUUUAUGGUAAUCUCAUUUAUUUUUAAAACUGUACAUGUAAAGACUAGUAGUUCAGAAUUACAUUAAGCAUUUCAAUUUUAAGCACCGUGUUCUGUUUAAUUGCGUUCCUAUUGAUUAAGUGACAAAUAAAAGAGAUUGAUUAAUUUGUUCUUGUAGGAGAGGCGAAUGGUAUCCGAAUAAAGAAAGCAAGGGUUUGAUGGAAGGCUUACUUGGAGCAAGAUAGCGAUCAAUCGAGUUGCUGCGUUUUAUUCUCUUUUAUCUUUGUUUUUUAAGAAAAAUAAACUGCCACACGUAGAAACAGAAAAUUAAGUUCUUGUCAUUUUCAUGCAUAUGGAUUGUUGCUGUGUGUGUCAAUCAAAUCUCCGUUGUGUCAUUUGUAAUUUUCAACCUUUAUGCAUGCAAAUGCGAGACCUCUUACGUAUAAUAAAAUUAAUAUACUUCCCAAGAUGGUCUUAUCUUGCGUUGACUUUUUACGUUCCUUUGGUGAUGAUUUUGACGUUUGAAAUUGAUGACUAAUUGACUAUUGUUUUUGUAAACUCUGACAUGGAUUUUUCGUGCAACUACAGAGCGCAUUAACGAGAGACUUAUCCAUGAGGGUCCAUGCAGAUCAGUGUCUAAUUAACCAAUAAUUAAUAUAACUAAAAAAAUAUAGAGUUAACUAUUUUUAUGGGUCAGGCUCAAUUGCAGAUGUUCGUACAAAAUUUCUUGCUAAUGUAUACUUGAGUAUGAUAAUAAGUUUUUAAUCAUUAUUAAUAAUUCACUUGAUAAUAUUAAACAAAUUUUCAUAUCAAUUAAGUUACAAAAUUUCUGUGACAAAUUUCCGCGUACUGGAACCAUGCAAAAGGGCUUUAUUCAAACAAAACUGCAUAGCCGUUGGCAAUUAAAAUUAUUUAUCAAUUAAGUUAAGUAGUAAGAAUUGGAUUGUGGAUUCCAUUAAUUAUUUCAAGGAAAAUUUUAUAGAUAAUGCCGUAAUGAAAUUUACGGCAUCAAUACCAUGAUAAAUAUAAAUAUUGUAAAUUACAAAUAGAAUUAGUAAAUGUAAAGUAAAACCAGUAAAUUCAUAAAAGAUUAUUAAUUAUUUAAAAAAUUAACAUUGUUUCUACAUAAUUUUAGUGAAAAAUAUUUUAUUCAUUUACAAAAACAUUUCUUUAAUUAAACAAAAAAAUUCAUUAAUUAAGCAAAAAAAUUAUACUGAAAAAAAAGUGGAAUAAGUUUAAUUGAAUUGGUUAUCAUAAAUUCUAUAUUUAGUCUAGGACAUUUUUAUACAUUUUCUUCCCAUUUUCGAUAAUGAUAUCUAUUUGUUACACAUGUUAAUUAAGUGCAAUUAUUUAUCUUGAUGUGGAUCAAGUAAAAAAAUAUCAUAAAUAAGAUAUCAAUAAAAUUAGAUCUAAUUUUGAAUAUUAUGUAUACUUUAUGUAGUUUCAAACUUUUUACUUGUAUUUGGAGACCAUUUAAGGUUGUUGUUGAAGAAGUGUAGAAAGAUGUAAAAUAACUUCAUCUUACAACAACUAUGAAAGAUAUUAAAAUAAUAAUUUUUUCAAAAUCCGAUUUUGAGAAAAAAAUUCAUCCUUAAUUAAACAUCACAUGUAUUAUAGAAAUGCAAAACUACCAUUGUUAUAUUUAACUUAAAAAAUAAUAAAUAUAUAAGGUAAUAAACAUUAUAAAGAGUUUUUAUUUUAAAAUUGUAAACUUUUGUUUCUGACAAUAACUCUUAUAUUAAUUUAUUUAUUUUGCCUUUUAUUCAUAAGUUUUAUGCAUAAUUUACAAACUUUAAGUUUUAUUUUGCAUUUUAUGUUGAUUUGGUUUUUUUAUAUUAUACGUACAAGUUUUCUUUUUAUUUACCAGUAAUACAUCAAUUUAUCAGCUUGAUAGUAAUUUACUUAUUUUACCUUCCUUUUACAAUUCUUAUGUUUCAUUUCCAAAAUUUAUGUUUUAUUUUACAGUUGUUGAUGAUUUACUAGUUUUAUGUUAUGUUUGCAAGUUUUUGUUUUGUUUACUAGUAAUAGAUUAAUGGGUAAUUUUUAAUUGAGUCCUCAUUAGUUCUAGAAAAACAAUUCAGAGACCAGAAGUUUACUAAAUGAAUCAAUUAAAUUCUUUCAAGUACAAACUAAUGUCAUUCAAGUCCUUAACUUAAUUGGUCAGUUAAAAAUAUUAACAACGUUGAGGACAUUUUAGUAAAACAACAAUUGAGUCGUUUCUCAUUCUUUAUUUUUGACAGGUGGAAAUAGUUUAAAGUAAACUCACUUAACCUGAUUAAGUUAAGGAUCAGUUCUUUCAAAUGAAAAAAAAAAAAAAAAACCUACAGAAACUGCCAUAUUCUUCGUGUGGGAGGAGAGAUCGAGAGAACGUGGGAUGGUGCAAAAAAUGUUGUAUAAAUCUACUGUGAUUUUGACCAAAGCUUUGGUAGCAUUGAUUGAGUUCAAGUACUGGAGAGAACCUGAGUUUAAAGGUUAGUAACUCUAUUUUUUUAGUGAUUUUUGCAAGCAUUUUCUGAUAAAAAAUUUUCCGUAUUGAGUGAUCGUUGUGAAAAAUUAAGUUUUUCAAGUCUAUUUUACAAAAUGACAAACUAUGUUUAAUUAUUGGUGGAUUCUUUUUUUUGUUCAAUGUUGUAUUUUGUUAAUUUGUUGUUUUUAAUUUGCUCUUAAUGUAAUUGUUAGACCAAAUACACCAUUAUUAUACCUAUAUUCAUUUCAACAAUUUGGUAUCGUUAUAUUAAUAAGAUUGAAUUCAUUGUAUUUGCUUCUUUGUUCAUGUAAAAUUGAAUUCUAUGUAUUCUUAUGAGUGAUAAUUUUUCUAUCUAUUAGACUAAAUUCACUAUAUUCACUACUUUCUUUCUUUUUGCUGGGCUAUUUUUUCUUUUUAGUUUAUAUUUUUAUAUGUAUUAGAUUGAAUUUGCUUUUGUACGUUUUUUUAGCCGAAUUACAUGUAUAUUUCAUUUAGGUUGAGUUUUUUUUGUUGUUUGCUAAAUAAAAUUAUAUUGGUUUAUCCCCUUUUUAUGCAAUACUUUUUGUUUAAAAUUAAUACAGUUAGCCAUGUUACCUUUUUUUUCAGUUAAAAUUAAUGGGGUGAUGUAGGCGAUAGGAUAUAGGGAACCAGAGGAAUAUAAGAUUAUUAGGCUGUUUCUUGAAAUUCAAGAUGUCAUGGUUAAGCAUGGACACAGUGAAAUGGAUUUGAUUGAAAUUUUUGUUGUAUUGCCAUGGACUACAAGUGGCCAGAGGAAGCUAAUUUCAAACGAUAGUGAAUUGUAUUGGGUUUUCGAGGAGUUUUUUUUAAUCAAUAGUUGUCCUGUCAUUGAGUUUGAGGUGCACACUGGGUCAGGUGGUCAGUCAUUUCAUGAAAGUGUUGUAAUAGGACCUGAAAAUCCUGUCAAUAUUAAAAAUUAGUGUUGUAAUAGUGAUAAGUUUGAAAAUGUUGUGGCUAAAAAGGUCUGCCUAGAAUAAUUGGUACUUCUUUAUUUGCCUCAAAGUCCAACACUAUGAAAUCCACAAGGAAAAAGAAUUUAUCCACUUUAACCAGCACGUCUUCAAUCUUGCCUUCAGGAUAAGCAUGAGAUCUGGCAGCACAUUGCAAUGUCACUGUGGUUGGUUUGACUUCUCCAACUCCCAAUUGCUUGAAUUCUGAUAAUGUCAUAAGAUUGAUGCUUGCUCCCAAACCACAAAGUGUCUUGCCACUGUAUUUAGUCCCUAUGGAACAAUGAAUUGUGAAACUUCCUGGAUCCUUCAACUUCUGAGGCAUUUUACUCUGAAGCAUAUGGCUGCAUUCUUGUGUUAGACCAACUAUUUCAAAUUCUCCGAGCCUCAUUUUCCUUGCCAAUAUACAUUUCCAAAAACUUUACAUAAUUUGGCAUUUGUUCUAAUGCUUCCACAAAAGAAAUGUUGAUAUGCAGUUCUUUCCAUACUUCCAAGAAUUUACUGAACUGCAUGUCUUGCUUUCGCUUUUGAAAUCUUUGUGGGAAGGGUGGUGGAUGUGUAAAUUGUUGUACUGCAGCAGACUAUACAUAUUGCUUUUCUCUUGCUCUAUUAUGGUAUGUUAUUAUUGGUGUUGCAGCUUCUUCCUCAACAAGCAUUGAAUCAUGUUUUUUUGCAGUUGCUAUAACUUAGCAACUCUCACCAGUGUGCUGGAAAAUGGGUUGUUGUGUCUCUUCUUUAAUUUGAGUUUCCCCUUGGGUUGAAUUAGGUUCCACUCUUCUUUUUGGUACUUUAACAAGUAUAUGAACAUCCUUUCCAAACCUUAAGUUAAUCCCCUUACAAUGCUCUUUUCCUUCUCUCUUUCGAUCCUCUGUAUUGUUUAGUAAAUUGUCCUGAGGUAUGUUGCUCAAUUUUGUAGCAAGCUGUCCAAUCUUAUUCUCCAAGUUUCUUAAAAAUACAGCUUGGCUUUAGACCACUACUUCAAUCUUUACAAUAUACUCCUUAAUCAGAGUUUCAAUGGAACUAAAUUGAUCAUUACUGGUGUUUCUUUACCCUUCAAAUUUCUGGUGAAAAUCAGGUGGCUGAGCAAGUCUGUUCUGUCCACUGGAUGCUGCAGCAUGCUGAUUCUGAUUGCUCCUUUUAAAAUUUGGGUGAUGUCUCCAUCCUAGGUUAUAGGUGUUUGAAAAUGGAUUGCUUUGAUUUUGUUUAUUAAAAUUGCCCACAUAAUUGACGGAAGCUGAAUUCCUAGGACAAUUAUGAUAUAGAUGUCCCUCUCCAUAAUAAACACAAGAGACUUCAGCAAUUUGGUUAACUGUUGCCGGAGCAGUGGCCGUUGCUUUUACCAUAUUUGUCAAUGAGGUUACUUAGGCUGAUAAUGUUGUCAGUGCAUCCACAUUGUGUACUCCUGCUGCUCCUCUCACUGUGGCUUGUCUAGUUGAUGGCCAUUGAUAGUUAUCCUUUCUAAAAUUUCAUAAGCCUCAUUAUAUGAGUUAGACAAUAAAGCCCCUAGUUAUUGAGUUCAACCCAUUGUAGAAAGUUUCCAAUUGUAUGCAAUAAGGAAUACCAUGAUGAGGGCAUCUCCUGAGUAACCCCUUGAAUCUUUCUCAUGCAUCAUACAAGCUUUCAUCUUCAAGUUGAUGGAAAGAUGUGAUCUCAUUCUUCAACUUUGCAUUCUUUGUUGGUGGGAAAUAUUUCAUCAAAAGUUUGUCAGCCAAAUAAUUCCAUGUGGUGAUGGAGUCUGGUUGCAAAGAACUCCACUGUACCAACUAAAAUUGAUUUCACAAAACACAAUAAGCACCAAUCCCCGGCAACGGCGCAAAAAACUUGUUGUCGAUUUUCUAAUGCUAUUAGUGUCAAUGUGAAAAUGUACACAACAAGUAAUAUAACGAUAAGUAUUCACUCCACAAGGAUUAUUAUUAUAGGAAUUGCUACAGUAAUUCUAUCAGUGCCAUUCUUAUUAUAAAUUAGAAUUUAAACAAAUUAUUCAACUAAUGAACUAAGGCAGAUCUUAUUGGGCUAGUCGGCAAUGUGUUGCUUUAGGUCGUGUGGAAUAGUUGCGGGAGUGAUCUUGCAUGAUGUGUGGAGCUAUAACAGUGCUGAGCAUGGGCCAAUCUAUGGGCUCAUGGAACUAGCGAACCUAAUCUAGAAUUUCGAGGAAGAGUACUCUGGUUAGUACUCUAAAUUACCUUAUUAUAUUUUGCACAAACAGAGGCAUGUUAGUGAAAUAAUAUCUAAGCAACCCAAGAGGGGGGUGAAUUGGGUUUCUAAAAAUUAUGCAAUUCUUAAACAAAACUUAAUGCAAAUCUUAAACGAAUUUAAAGCAAUAAUACAUAAAUCAACCAAGGUAUAAAAAGAUAAGGGAAGAGAGAUUAAAACACAGAGAGUUUUACGUGGUUCGGCCAACCUUGCCUACAUCCACACCCCCAAGCACACCGAGCUUGGGCAUUCCACUAGUCAAGCCUUCAAGGCUUCAAGAACACUUACAAUUGACUUCUUAGGUGUCAAUCAACCUUUACAUCUAGAGAUUAUCCCCAAUCUCUUAACCCAAGUGUAUCCCAAUAUUUACAAUCACUCAAAAUAAAGAUUACAAAUUUAUUUUUCUCUCACACAAUUUUUUAAGAUUACAAAUCAACGCUUAAUGUGUGAAUAAAUGAACAAGAAUGAAUUUGAAGCUCAAUGAAUGUUGUAUUCUCGAUUAUAAGCUCAAUGAUAACGUUGUGAUAAGCUCUUGUUUGAAUUUGAUUGAUCUUAUUUAUAGUUGGAGUUGAAAAAUAGCCAUUGUUGACUUUUUCCCGAAAUUGGAUCGCCGUUAACCGUUAUCGGUUAACCGUUUUGACUGGUCCAAGUGACCGUUGAGCUGAAUUUCAAAUAAACGGUUGAUCUUUUGACACUAUCGGUUUGCUGUUAAUUUCCAUAAACCUGUAAAACAAAUUUAUGCUAUUCGUUCUUGCUAAACGGUUGAAGGUCAGCAUGGAAUGACAUUCUAGAAAUUAUUGGUUGGCCGUUUGAAGUUCACGGUUCACCGUUUACUUCUAGAAUCACAGUUUUAACCAAAUUUCGCAGGGAAUGCUUUUUCGGUUAAAGUUAACGAUUAUCCAUAUUUCAUGAACACAUUUAGAAAAAUCAUACGACUUUUGAGAAAUUGUUUAGUAAUGAAAACUCUAACAUUUUAAUCAAAUACAUUUAAAGUUUGUUAUCAUCAAAAUCAAUAUAAUGAACAUCUACAUGUUAACAGUUAGGCCUUGAUUAUUUUUUAAAUCUUAUAAGAUAUAGAGUGAUAAUAGUAACUCAAUUUUCAUAAAACGUGGAAAGAUCAGUCGCCAAAUUUAUAGAUGCCAUAGAAAAUCUAGAUUUUAGUAAGGAAUAUCAAGUUAUUUAUACAAUGAAAAUUGUUAAAACUCGAUUAAUUGCAAGGAAACACUUUUAGAGAGAUAUGGAGAGAAUAAACUUUGAAGAUAACAAUGAAAUACAUGACACAUUUAAGGAAGAAAAUAUAAUAGUAUUAAUAGAAUCUAUUUUAACCAGUCUUAAGAUAAUUCAAGAUUGAUGCAAAAUAAAUAACAGGACUCUAAACCGUCCAUAAUAAGUCUAUUGAUUAAUAAUAAUAAUAAUAGUGAUGUGAAAUUUUUUAUUCAGAAUGCUCAAUUUAGAUUAUAAUAUCUAUGUGAAAGCAUUGAUGGCAUGUACCUUGGUUAGGAAAAUAGAUUGGACACAUGGAUAUAUAUGUUGGAAGAACAAAUCUAGUUUAUAUCUCAAGAGAGAUAAUAAAUUAUAAAUGCCGGUGCUAUAGUAUAUUCAGAUUUUAUAAAUCUUUAUAAAUUUAAUAAUCAUUUAGAUCUUCAUAAAAUUAUAAUAAAACUUUAAAAAACUUUAAAAAUAUAUGUAGAAGAGAUGGAAGAAGAAAUCAUCCAGUUAUUCAAAAUCAAUUAAACAGAAAUAGAAGGUAAAAUCCUUGAAUUAUAUAAAUUAUACAAUUUCACAGAAAUUUUGCAUAUAUUGCAAAACGGUCCUUGUGGCACUAAUUAUGGGACUAGUGUAGCAUAAAUACUAAUAUUGCUUUUUAUUUUGUAAAUUAAUUGUUGCGUCAUAAUGUUUUUACAUACACAUUUUAUGUUUUAAAAUAUGAAUUUUUUUUUUUUGUAUUUAGGGAUAAUUUUACAAUUUCAUACUUUGUUCAAUUAUAUAUACAGGUCCUUAACGUGUUGGUUGAUGUUGAAUAUUCAAAGAUCCACAAGCUAUCAACGACAACGAAUCAAAUUAAACUAAUUAGUUAAUACAUAAUGACUGGGUUGUUUCCUAUGUUGUUAAUGAUGUAGGACGUUAUUUUAGGAUUUUAGAAUUGUAAUUUUUAGGUCUUCUGAUAUUUUCUUUUUUAAUUAAAGUUAGUGUCUUAGUUUUUUAUUUAUUUAUGUUAUAAUUAUAAUUUACUUUCUCUUUUUAAGUUAACUUAGGAAAAUAUAUUUACUGUAUUAUAAAUAAAGAGAUCUUGUUAUUACUUUAUAACUUCAACUUCAGUUAUUCAAUUAAAAACCCCUCUUUUAUAAUUUCAUUUUGUAUUAUUUAUUAAAAACCCCUCUUUUAAAGUUGUUUGAUUAGAGCAUCAUCCAGCCUUGCUUAACGCAGUAUUAAAAAUCCAUUUGAGUUUAAUCACACUUCGAUUAGAGCGUAACUUAAUUGCAUUGACUUGGUCCAGUACUUGAACGAUAUCUAGUGUUUUGCUUCCGCUAUGCCAAGGAGAAAAUUAAUUUCACCGUGAGAUAAGAGCAUUAAAAGGAAUUCAUAAGAAAUUUAAAUUAAAGCUAUAUAUGUUAAAUAUAUCGCUAGCUACUUGUUUUUGGAGGAAUUAAAACAAUUAAUAAGCUGCGAAGUGAAAAUGAAUAAAUAAAUGAAAUGAGGUUGAAAAUAAGUCUCGCCGCCUGGAUCCAAGGCCAAAACAUUCAUGAUAAGUUAGGUAAUUAAGUACAUGUUUUCAAGCUCUUCAUGAAGAAUAACGUUAUUGAAAUAAAUCACAAAGACUCCCUGCGCAAAUUAUUACAUUGAUUAAAAAAAAAAAGCCAUAUCUUUAACAGGAUCGUGACUCUCGGACUGUUAAUUACUUUAUUCCCUGCUUGGCCAACAGCUGGCCACUAAACAAAAUCAUAAAAAUUUUAAAUUUAGUCAAAUUGGUCCCACUUGAUGACAUCCUUUCCAUACAUAAAAUUGUUUAACGUCAAGGUUAAAUAUGAGAAGUUUGGUAGAGAAGGUAAAAAGGAAGUCUAUAUAAGGAGGGGAACGAGCUUUGUUUAUAGCACAAGUGAAACUCCACUUUAUUGAACGAUGGGGUCUCAAAUGGGCUGCCUCUUUGCCACUCUUUUGGUAGUAUCAGUCUCUCUUAGCUACUUGCCGUUAGAAGCCUCCGCAAACAAAUACUACUACACAUCUCCUCCCCCUCCCAAAUACAAGUCUCCACCACCACCCCCGCCACCGGUUCACAAUUCUCCACCACCACCCCCGGUUUACCUGCCCCCGCCACCUCCUCCACCAGUCUACGUGCCUGCUCCGGCACCAACUCCAAUUUUCCCUUCUCCGCCACCUCCUGUCCCCAAGUCCCCACCACCACCUCACCCUUACAUCUAUGCAUCUCCCCCUCCUCCUUACUACUACUAGAAAGUGGCCAUGAAUAGCUCAUGCUUUUAUGGUAAUCUCAUUUAUUUUUAAAACUGUACAUGUAAAGACUAGUAGUUCAGAAUUACAUUAAGCAUUUCAAUUUUAAGCACCGUGUUCUGUUUAAUUGCGUUCCUAUUGAUUAAGUGACAAAUAAAAGAGAUUGAUUAAUUUGUUCUUGUAGGAGAGGCGAAUGGUUUCCGAAUAAAGAAAGCAAGGGUUUGAUGGAAGGCUUACUUGGAGCAAGAGAGCGAUCAAUCGAGUUGCUGCGUUUUAUUCUCUUUUAUCUUUGUUUUUUAAGAAAAAUAAACUGCCACACGUAGAAACAGAAAAUUAAGUUCUUGUCAUUUUCAUGCAUAUGGAUUGUUGCUGUGUGUGUCAAUCAAAUCUCCGUUGUGUCAUUUGUAAUUUUCAACCUUUAUGCAUGCAAAUGCGAGACCUCUUACGUAUAAUAAAAUUAAUAUACUUCCAAAGAUGGUCUUAUCUUGCGUUGACUUUUUACGUUCCUUUGGUGAUGAUUUUGACGUUUGAAAUUG
rnacentral:lncRNA from 1 species